rnacentral:rRNA from 1 species
GACGAACGCUGGCGGCGUGCCUAAUACAUGCAAGUAGAACGCUGAAGGAGGAGCUUGCUUCUCUGGAUGAGUUGCGAACGGGUGAGUAACGCGUAGGUAACCUGCCUGGUAGCGGGGGAUAACUAUUGGAAACGAUAGCUAAUACCGCAUAAUAUUGACUAUUGCAUGAUAGUCAGUUGAAAGGUGCAACUGCACCACUACCAGAUGGACCUGCGUUGUAUUAGCUAGUUGGUGGGGUAACGGCUCACCAAGGCGACGAUACAUAGCCGACCUGAGAGGGUGAUCGGCCACACUGGGACUGAGACGCGGCCCAGACUCCUACGGGAGGCAGCAGUAGGGAAUCUUCGGCAAUGGACGGAAGUCUGACCGAGCAACGCCGCGUGAGUGAAGAAGGUUUUCGGAUCGUAAAGCUCUGUUGUAAGAGAAGAACGAGUGUGAGAGUGGAAAGCUCACACUGUGACGGUAUCUUACCAGAAAGGGACGGCUAACUACGUG